rnacentral:rRNA from 1 species
GAUGAACGCUAGCGGCAGGCUUAACACAUGCAAGUCGAGGGGUAUAUAGGAGCUUGCUUUUAUAGAGACCGGCAAACGGGUGCGGAACACGUACGCAAUCUGCCCUUAUCUUGGGGAUAGCCCAUAGAAAUGUGGAUUAAUACCCAAUAGUAUAUUUGGAUGGCAUCAUUUAAAUAUUAAAGAACUUCGGAUAAGGAUGAGCGUGCGUAAGAUUAGCUAGACGGUGAGGUAACGGCUCACCAUGGCAACGAUCUUUAGCUGAUGUGAGAGCAUGAUCAGCCACACGGGCACUGAGACACGGGCCCGACUCCUACGGGAGGCAGCAGUGAGGAAUAUUGGUCAAUGGACGGAAGUCUGAACCAGCCAUGCCGCGUGAAGGAUGAAGGCGUUCUGCGUUGUAAACUUCUUUUAUCAGGGAAGAAACCACAGAUUUCUAUUUGUGUUGACGGUACCUGAGGAAUAAGCACCGGCUAACUCCAUGCCAGCCGCCGCCGUAAGAC